CCUACGGGGGUCUGCAGUGGGGAAUAUUGGUCCAUGGGCGCAAGCCUGACCCAGCAACGCCGCGUGACGGACGAAGGCUUUCGGGUUGUAAACUUCUUUUCUGGGGGCCGAACAAAUGACGGUACCCCAGUAAUAAGCCACGGCUAACUACGUGCCAGCAGCCCCGGUACUACGUAGGUGGCAAGCGUUAUCCGGAUUUAUUGGGUGUAAAGGACGUGUAGGCGGGAAUGCAAGUCAGAUGUGAAAACUCAGGGCUCAACCCUGAGCCUGCAUUUGAAACUGUGUUUCUUGAGUGCUGGAGAGGCAAUCGGAAUUCCGUGUGUAGCGGUGAAAUGCGUAGAUAUACGGAGGAACACCAGUGGCGAAGGCGGAUUGCUGGACAGUAACUGACGCUGAGGCGCGAAAGCGUGGGGAGCAAACAGGAUUAGAUACCCUUGUAGUC
rnacentral:rRNA from 1 species